GUUAUUUUUUUAUGCGAUUUUUUGUUAUUUUUUUAUGCGAUUUUUUUUUAUGUAAUUUUUUUAUGAAAGCUAUUGUUUUUAUGUUAUUUUUUUAUGAUUGGUUCAUUUUCUUAUUGGUUAAUUUUUUAUUUAAGAUAUUUUAAAAUAAUUUUUCCUAAAAUUUAAAAUUCGUACAAUUAUUUAAAGGAAGUGAUGGGGGCAAAUAAGGGGGAAGGCUAGGGGUAAGAUUUUUGGUAGACGAAACUUUCCAUUUUUAAUUUUUUUUUUGGUAUAAAUCUUUUUUUGGUUCCCUUUUUUUUAGUUCCAAUAUAUAUUAUAUAAUUCCUUCCAUUUUUUUUAAAAUGAAUAUUCAUAAAUGACGAAUUUUUAGAUUCCAUUUUUGAAGGAAUUCAUGAUGUUGGGAGAUUUUUAAGACUAGUGUACUUGUACAUAAGUACCAAUUCUUUAAAAAAUAUUAAACAGAAUUAUUUUUAGGCCGUUAUAAAAUUUUAACUGCUUCGAAAGAGUUAGAUUAUGAUAAGAAGGCAAUUUCAAGAUGGUUUAAAAAAUUUCGAAAGGUAUGUGGAUUCCAUAUAGCCUCGAAUCAUUCAAAGAUCGGGGGGCCUGGCCACGUUAUUGAAAUUGAUGAAACUCAUGUAUGGAAGCGUAAAUAUAACCGUGGUCGGCAUUUGACUUCCGAGGCUAUAUGGAUUAUUGGUGGUAUAUGUCGGGAAACAAAUGAGAUAUUUUUAAGUGCCACCACAACAAGAGAUCAAGAUACCACCUAUCGUGUGGUUAAAGAUAAUGUUAUGCAAGAUUCCACGAUAAUGACUGACUCGUGGUUAGGAUAUAAUCGGCUAGAAAGUUCAAACUAUUUCCACUAUCGGAUCAACCAUUCGCAAAAUUUUGUUGAUCUAAAUGACAGAUCGAUCCACACUCAAAAAGUCGAGAGGCUGUGGCGGGAUCUAAAGGCAAAUUAUAAAAGACAUGGGG